GUUGUCUUGGACGUACCACACCUUGCCUUCUCCAAGCAGAACAUAAUCUACGAAGAACUAUCCAAUUUUACAAAACGCACUGGAGUCAAGAUAUAGCUUCUCAUCUAAAGGAAAUUAUGAGUAUUGAAGAUACAAAAAAUACAAAAGCCUGAAGUCUGAUUCGUCAAAAUUGUCUAAAAAUGGUGUAUGAGCUUUUAUAGCUCCAGCCAAAUAAAAAGAAGAAGAAGAAGAAGAUAUUCAGAGAGACUUACACAGGUUGACAUGGAUAGACAGAUAUAUUUCAGACAAUUAUGACUAACAAUUGAUUUUGGGAUCCAGAAUUUUCUGAGACAUCGUCAACCAUGCAAAAUGAAUAAAUAUAAUAUCUAUAUCAUCGGAUGAAAAGCCUUCAUCAAAAGUAUCAUGCUUUUUCCCGUGACACAUUAUCGAACCUUUCUUCUAUUGGAAUUUUUUAACAAAGACAGACUCUUGUAAGAUCGUAAUCGCGCACCGCAGAAAUCGGCUAUUUUCCCCAUAGCAUCACUUGCGGACAUGGAUGCUUUUGAAAGGUUCGACGAAAACGGAUAUUCCAACGCCGUAAAUUAUUUCCGUUAUAUCGGCGGCUUUAAUUUGAGAGAAACUGUUAACCUGUGUCUGAAGGAAGGUCUGAAGGAUGCCAUUGCGACGGUCUUUUACAUGGUGGAGCCGCGAAGGACACUGGCCGUUAUACAAUACCCGUCUUAUUGUGGCGAUUUAUGAUGGUGUGUGCCAAAACAAGCAUUUUGAGAAACCAACGCGCUCUGAAUUUUAAGCGCAAAUGCGGGAGGCUUUGAGGAUGUCUAAGGAGAGACACUGAAGUAGAUCACGCAAGAAUACUGUUGCGCGCGGCGCAAGGAAUCAACGAAACCGACGGAAUCUGUGGAACGACGAGCGAUCGAACGAUGAGCAACCGAUUGGAGAAAGUACGGAUGAAGAAGUUUUAAACAAUUAAACAGGCGGUUUCUGGAGAUGCGCUCAUCGGAAAAUCCCGCAAUCCGGUUCUCGGACAUCAAUUAUUUCAC